AUCAGCUGUGCUUUCAAAAAUCUGCAACUGGAGAAUGCCAAGUUAAAGAAGCCUGCUCUAAAUGAUUAAUGAUUGAUUUAAGAGAGAAAGAAUAAGGGCUGAGUUGAUACCAUGUGCUACAUUUGCUGAAUAUUAUUGAGACAGAAGAAAGGAAAAUAUGACUGCAAAGCAUCCCAGCAACAACCCAUGGGAACUCAUAUAUCAAAUUUAUGGAAGAGAAGAAUGAGGAGAAGUAAUAAGAUGGACCCCAAGUGCAAAAGAAGAACGGUGACGCUAUUUAGCAUAUAAGGCUCCUUAUUUUUUAAAGCUACAUGGCAGAAAUGUACACCACAGCCUCUAUGUUGGGAACAGCUCUUCCUAAGGUAUUCAGACAUUGCAGAUGGCCCUGGCAUGCAGAUUUGUCAGGUUUAUACAUCCUAAUCUUAAAGGAGUGAAAGAAGCAGAAGCUGCACAGAUGCUGGCAGCCCAACGUAAGCUCUUUGGCAGAUUUGCAAUGGCUUUUCUCCAACCGUUUACUCAACAGAUGUUGGAUGUGAAGAAGACAAAGAUCUUGCUCAGUCUCAACACUGAAGGAAAAUGUUCCAGAAGGAAAAUUCAUUUAAAUGACUGCUGCAUCCCUCACAUUAAGAAUAAGCAGAGUGUGCUAAAGUAAAAAUGACUUGCUACUUAUCCUAGUUGUUACAUUUUCCUCUUUUCACUGCAGGGAUAGUUUGGAAUGAUAAAUAUAAAAAUUACCUGGGGAAAAUGCAAAUGAUUCACAGGUAUACAAGAUUAUUUGCUCUCCAGUUCUUCAACAUGUAGUAUGAGGCCAUGAUUUUGCAAAGACCAUUUCAUUCAUUUUUACGUAAUCACUACUCAAAGCCACAUACAUACAUAUUGAAAGCCAAAUGUCUUUAAAAAAAUAAGGACAAUUUUUAAGCAAAAGAUAUAAGUCCCAUCAUUAUCACAUUUUUAAAAAAACUAUGCGGUGUAAAUAAAG